rnacentral:rRNA from 1 species
UACGGAGGAUGCAAGCGUUAUCCGGAAUUAUUGGGCGUAAAGCGUCCGUAGGUGGUUUAUCAAGUCUGCUGUUAAAGGCCGAGGCUUAACCUCGGGAGAGCAGUGGAAACUGAUGGACUAGAGAGCGGCAGGGGUGGGGGGAAUUCCCGGUGUAGCGGUGAAAUGCGUAGAUAUCGGGAAGAACACCAGUGGCGAAAGCGCCCUACUGGGCCGCAUCUGACACUGAGGGACGAAAGCUAGGGGAGCGAAAGGG